GAUGAACGCUGGCGGCGUGCCUAAUACAUGCAAGUCGAGCGAAUGGACGAGAAUCUUGCUUCUCUUCUGUUAGCGGCGGACGGGUGAUUAACACGUGUCUACCCUACCUUUAAGACUGGGAUAACUUCGGGAAACCUGAUCUAACACCGGAUGAUAUUUUGAACCUCAUGGUUCUUAAGUCAAAGACCUCUCUGCUGUCACUUAUACAUGUUCCCGCGCUGCAUUAGCUAGUUGGUAAGGUAACGGCUUACCAAGGCAACGAUGCGUAGCCGAGCUGAGAGGGUGAUCAGCCACACUGGAACUGAGACACGGUCCAGACUCCUACGGGAGGCAGCAGUAGGGAAUCUUCAGCAAUGGGCGAAAGCCUGACGAAGCAACGCCGCGUGAGUGAAGAAGGUCUUCGGAUCGUAAAGCACUUUUAUUAGGGAAGAAGGUAUGUAUAAGUAACUGUGCACGUCUUGACGGUACCAAAACAAAAAGCAACGGCUAACUUCGUG
rnacentral:rRNA from 1 species